rnacentral:rRNA from 1 species
GACGAACGCUGGCGGCGUGCUUAACACAUGCAAGUCGAACGAUGAAGCGGUGCUUGCACCGUGGAUUAGUGGCGAACGGGUGAGUAAUACGUGAGUGACUUACUUUGACUCUGGGAUAAGCCUGGGAAACUGGGUCUAAUACCGGAUACGACCAAUCUCUGCAUGGGGUGUUGGUGGAAAGCGUUAUGGAGUGGUUUUAGAUGGGCUCACGGCCUAUCAGCUUGUUGGUGAGGUAAUGGCUUACCAAGGCGACGACGGGUAGCCGGCCUGAGAGGGUGACCGGCCACACUGGGACUGAGACACGGCCCAG